rnacentral:pre_miRNA from 1 species
AUUAUAGUCCCUCCGUCCGAAAAUACUUGUCAUCAAAAUGGACAAAAAGGGAUGUAUCUAAAACUAAAAUACAUCUAGAUACAUCCCUUUUAUCCAUUUUGAUGACAAGUAUUUCCGGACGGAGGGAGUAUAUA